ACGCUCGACACCUACGGAGGCAGCAGUGGGGAAUAUUGCACAAUGGGGGGAAACCCUGAUGCAGCGAUGCCGCGUGAAGGAAGAAGUAUCUCGGUAUGUAAACUUCUAUCAGCAGGGAAGAAAAUGACGGUACCUGACUAAGAAGCCCCGGCUAACUACGUGUCAGCAGCCGCGGUAAUCUGAGCGGGCUGGCAAGGC
rnacentral:rRNA from 1 species